ACAUCGGUAGCACAGUGGUCAAUGCAGUCUGCCGGAAACAGAAAGACGCGGGUUCAAUUAACGUCCAAUGUC
rnacentral:tRNA from 1 species